rnacentral:lncRNA from 1 species
UGUGUCAAACAAGAGUCUAUCAAAACUUUAGUUAAUUGAUUAGAAAUUGAAAUCAUACCCUAGAUCACAGCUUGUGCAGCUUCUCUAUCUAUCUCUGUGAUUACAUAGACCCUCCCUUGAGCUCUGGCCUUAUUAUACUUUUUACUAUUGGGAUAGUCUCUAAUCAAAUGCUACAUGCACCCACACUUGAAGCAUCCUUUGAUCAGCUUGUAACAAGAUUUAUU